rnacentral:rRNA from 1 species
CACGUAGGGCGCAAGCGUUGUCCGGAAUUAUUGGGCGUAAAGAGCUCGUAGGCGGUCUGUUGCGUCUGCUGUGAAAACUCGGGGCUUAACCCCGAGCCUGCAGUGGAUACGGGCAGACUAGAGGUAGGUAGGGGAGAAUGGAAUUCCCGGUGUAGCGGUGAAAUGCGCAGAUAUCGGGAGGAACACCGGUGGCGAAGGCGGUUCUCUGGGCCUUACCUGACGCUGAGGAGCGAAAGCGUGGGGAGCGAACAGG